rnacentral:rRNA from 1 species
AUUGAACGCUGGCGGCAGGCCUAACACAUGCAAGUCGAGCGGUAGAGAGGUGCUUGCACCUCUUGAGAGCGGCGGACGGGUGAGUAAUGCCUAGGAAUCUGCCUGGUAGCGGGGGAUAACGUUCGGAAACGGACGCUAAUACCGCAUCCGUCCUACGGGAGAAAGCAGGGGACCUUCGGGCCUUGCGCUCUCAGAUGAGCCUAGGUCGGAUUAGCCAGUUGGUGAGGUAAUGGCUCACCAAGGCGACGAUCCGUAACUGGUCUGAGAGGAUGAUCAGUCACACUGGAACUGAGACACGGUCCAGACUCCUACGGGAGGCAGCAGUGGGGAAUAUUGGACAAUGGGCGAAAGCCUGAUCCAGCCAUGCCGCGUGUGUGAAGAAGGUCUUCGGAUUGUAAAGCACUUUAAGUUGGGAGGAAGGGUUGUAGAUUAAUACUCUGCAAUUUUGACGUUACCGACAGAAUAAGCACCGGCUAACUCUGUGCCAGCAGCCGCGGUAAUAC